CAAGUACUCCCUCCGUACGAAUUACUUGUCAUCAAAAUGGAUGUGUCUAGAACUAAAAUACAUCUAGAUACAUCCAUUUCAAUGACAAGUAUUUUCAGACGGAGGGAGUACAAG
rfam:Triticum aestivum genome assembly, contig: Triticum_aestivum_CS42_TGACv1_scaffold_500882_6BL